CAUGGGAACUAGACACUACCCUAGACAGAUGACGUCAUUGGCUUGCGUCUUUAGCGUUCUCUGCUGCAAGAAGAACAUCACCACACAGGAGCAAAUCAUCCAUGUAUUGUAACAGGACCACUGAGCGGGCGGUGCCUAGUUUGUAAGGACAGAUUGUAGAGCCUGUGUAUACAUGGUCGGGGAGUUCUGAGCUCCUUGAGGCAGAAUAGUCCAAGUAUACUGGUUACCCUUAAAUGUAAAGGCAAACAGAUACGGACAGUCUUGGUGCAACGGGACACUAAAGAAGGAAUUUGCCAGGUCUAUCACUGUGAAACACUUAGCAGUGGAUGGAACUUAUGACAGUAAGUGAAAACCAGUGAUCCAGGUUGAGAUUUGCUCACACGCUGAAUUUCAGGUCAUCUGUACUUUAGAAGUGCUGAGUGGGUUUCCAGUACGACAGACCUUUUGACUUAGAAGAACUAUCACAGAUGGCCUACUGGAAUGAACAUCUGUACAAACCAUCCCCGCUGCUUUUUCUUUCUGGAGCAAACAGGAAGUAUUGACAGCUCUCACUACAGCCAUCCAUGUAGCUUGUUAAACUAUAUACUUAUCGGUAUCUUUUAAUGGCUUCUAGGGCUAGGAAUUUUCUCAGUACCUCUCUAGACACUUCUAUUUAGAGUUUACUCAUAAGUCACAGUAGUUCCCUUUUACCAGUCAUGUGUACAUUUGUGAUGUCUAUUGAGGAUCCGCUCAGUGUCACCACAAGCAGCACCAAAACUUUAGUUGGAAUGGACUAUAAUGAUACCUCAAACAACUUAGAUGAAUGUAAUGAGAGCAAAGAUGAGACUUUGCCCCUGGACCAGGAGUCAGAAACGAAGAUACCUGUGCAACUGUACAUCGAAGAUGCACAGCCUACAGUGGAGACUAACACAGAGGAGCAAAACAUUCAUCACAUCAAUGCCAACAACUGGUUUGUGAUUCAUUUAUUCUUGUGAUCUGUUCAUUGUUGAAAAGUUUAAUACAUAUUGUACAUCAGAAAGACUUCUAGUACCCUGCUGUUCUGAUUAGAUUAGCAAGGUACAAUGGGUCAGCAAAGAUUCUUGUCAUUCUACCCAAGCAGACAAAAAUAGUAAAGGGGUACUCCGGGAAUUAAGAAAACGAAAACAUUUAAAUAUUACUUUUAUUAUAAAUAUAUUCCCAAAU